rnacentral:lncRNA from 1 species
AAGAACAAAGUCCAAAGGGAAAAAUAAUUUUCUUUACCCGGAAUAAGCAUAUAGACAAAUGAGCAAAGCAAUGUGUGCUCCCCAUUCCUAAAGUAUAUAGCAUGACAUACCAGCAAUAGGAAUAUACAAGAAUAGACUAGACAGAUAUGAUAACAAAAUUGAACACAGUUCCUUAACAGGUCCAACCAUCUAGUGCAGUGGAGCUAUUAUAUUAGCUUGGUACCUAAUUC